rnacentral:rRNA from 1 species
GGGAAACUGCCUGAUGGAGGGGGAUAACUACUGGAAACGGUAGCUAAUACCGCAUAACGUCGCAAGACCAAAGAGGGGGACCUUCGGGCCUCUUGCCAUCAGAUGUGCCCAGAUGGGAUUAGCUAGUAGGUGGGGUAACGGCUCACCUAGGCGACGAUCCCUAGCUGGUCUGAGAGGAUGACCAGCCACACUGGAACUGAGACACGGUCCAGACUCCUACGGGAGGCAGCAGUGGGGAAUAUUGCACAAUGGGCGCAAGCCUGAUGCAGCCAUGCCGCGUGUAUGAAGAAGGCCUUCGGGUUGUGAAGUACUUUCAGCGGGGAGGAAGGUGUUGAGGUUAAUAACCUCAGCAAUUGACGUUACCCGCAGAAGAAGCACCGGCUAACUCCGUGCCAGCAGCCGCGGUAAUACGGAGGGUGCAAGCGUUAAUCGGAAUUACUGGGCGUAAAGCGCACGCAGGCGGUCUGUCAAGUCGGAUGUGAAAUCCCCGGGCUCAACCUGGGAACUGCAUUCGAAACUGGCAGGCUAGAGUCUUGUAGAGGGGGGUAGAAUUCCAGGU